rnacentral:rRNA from 1 species
UAAUACAUAGGGUGCAAGCGUUGUCCGGAUUUAUUGGGCGUAAAGAACUCGUAGGUGGUUUGUUACGUCGGAUGUGAAACUCUGGGGCUCAACCCCAGACCUGCAUCCGAUACGGGCAGACUGGAGUGUGGUAGGGGAGACUGGAAUUCCUGGUGUAGCGGUGGAAUGCGCAGAUAUCAGGAGGAACACCAAUGGCGAAGGCAGGUCUCUGGGCCAUUACUGACACUGAGGAGUGAAAGUGCGGGGAGCGAACAGGAUUAGAUACCCUGGUAGUCCGCACCGUAAACGAUGGACGCUAGUUGUGGGGACCUUCCACGGUUUCUGCGACGCAGCUAACGCAUUAAGCGUCCCGCCUGGGGAGUACGAUCGCAAGAUUAAAACUCAAAGGAAUUGACGGGGCCCGCACAAGCAGCGGAGCAUGCGGCUUAAUUCGACGCAACGCGAAGAACCUUACCAAGGCUUGACAUAUAGGGAAAAGCAGCAGAGAUGUUGUGUCCGCAA